CCUAAAUGCCUUCUAAAUUUCCUUCCAAGAGCAAUCUAGAUUAAGGCAAAAUUAUGUUUAUUAGAGAGUUUAAAAGGAGCUGUUCCCAGGGCUUGGAGAAAGGAAAUUCAGCUUUCUCCCUUCUUUGAAUGAAGCUCUCCUGCUCAAAUUUCAUCUCUGUAUAAUUUUCAGAUGUCUUCACGCACUCAUGGUAUGACACUCUUUCUCUCUGUCAUUCUCUUUCAGUUUGUACUGUGAAUCCAUGCAGAAUCCUACAAAUCCUGUGAAACUAAGUUUAAUGCCAAGAACUCUCCAGGAGUGAAAAUCUGUCAAUAUUCCAAUAGAAAAGAUGGAGCGGCAGUCGUGUGAUAAAGAUCUUCUAUUCCAAAAGUCUUUAAAAGUGCACAAACUUUACCACGGAUUUCUAUAAGGAUGCAGUGGAUGUCUUUUUCAAGAACUGAUCUGAACAGCAUUUCAAUCCGAAUGACUCUCAAGUUGUACACAAUUCUUUUCAUGGAUCACUACAAGAGUGCAUCUCAGUGUGACCAUAUGGGCUGGAGUGCAUUACCCUGCAGUGGAGCAGAGGGAAAAGCCCUUUUCAGCCUUAUUCAGAGCACUCUACUGAUUUCAAGGGAACAGGAGCUUCUUAUGCUUUGGUUCAGAAACCCAUCUCCCAAGUUAUAUAUGAGGGAACUUUAAUCUAUGCUAGUGGAAAUGGAGAUUCUUUGUAAGUGGAGAUUUUUAUGCUGUUUUUCCCAAGUGCUGAACUGAAUGACUAUGCCAAAUAUUGACCAAAUCCCUUUGGAUAAAUC
rnacentral:lncRNA from 1 species